AUAACAGAUAUAUCAUAUCAUAUAUAUGCAUAGACAGGUACAAUGUCUACCAGCAACAAGGGUGGUAGCAGCGGUGACAACGGACAACAAAACCGGCAACAACAUUGCAGUAUCCUGCAUAGAUAGGUUUUUAUUACUGCAAAAUUGAUCCCGGCAGCGCUACCGGUAGUUGCGGUAGAUAGGAUUGUACAUGCAGGUCUCUGCAUAUUGCACCAGGUCUCUGGGCGCAGGCAGACGGGUCGCCAAACCUGCAGAGGAAAGUUUGAGACUUUGGAGGCGAAUGGAAAGAUUUGGAGGUCUACUCAGGGAAACGGAAGCAGAACAGAAAACUUUGGAAAUGUAUCUACAGAAGGAAAGGAGGGUGAAGCGUACCGAGCUCAUAGGCUUUUGCAGCCACGGCGGCAGCAAUGUGAGCGGAGAUCUUUCUGAUGCUGCUGAAGGGCGGGAAGAUCGAUCCCUUCUCAAAGUUCUCCUGAUUGGCCUGAUCAGCUAGUGCUUCCGCUGUUUAAAUGAUUACAGCCAUGAGAUUGCUUCACAUCAAACCCUCCCUAGUUUCCCAUUUGGAUACAUAAUUAACAUUUACAUAUGUUCAUUGACUCCAUUAAGAAGGUACUUACAGGCAGCAAGAAGCAUGUCCUCAUGGACACGGGUGGCUCCAGCCAUAAUCAGACCAAGGCCAAGGCCAGGGAAAAUGUAAGCAUUGUUUGCCUGUCAUGAGUAGCGCAAUUGAGUUAGUAAUGAACUUGUGCUUUCAAAUAGCAGGUGCUUAGAUCAGUAAGGUUGUGUUGCCUCGGAGAAGUAUUAGAUAAAAGAACUACCUGCCCAGGUACAAAAGUCUUCCCAUCGUACUCAACAGGGUUAAAUGGACUACCACUGGCAAAUACAGCACGCCCCUGCAAAUAAAGAGACAUAAGUCCCAUUGUACUCCACAAAGUUUGUUUUCUCAAAUUUAGGCACACUUCUUUUUUUUUCUGGCCAAUUAGGUCACCAUUUAAAUGGUACUUGCACUGAGAUAAAUUUGCAGAUGCGACUCUGCCGAGUGUUGAGAGAGCUCACCUUGGUCCAGUUAUAUGCUUGUUCAGCAGUACAUUCAGAAUGUGAAGUUGGAUUUGACAGUGAAAAGAUGACAGGCCUCUGUAUUUGUAUUUUGGAGAUAUCAUAAGUUAGCUAACCACCCUUGUAAUGUAACACCUUCAACAUUACAUCUUGAGUAGCAAAAGCUGACAAAAGUUACCUCAUUGAAGGAAGCCAUGGCCUCAACAACUUCUUUUGUGAAUGCCCUUCCAACUCCUGAUGUCCCAAUCAAAACCGUAGGUUUGAUCGACUGGAGAAUAAAUAAAGAAACAUUAGUAUGAUUUUGAUGAAAUAACACCAAAAAGGAUAGCUUUAAGUAAAGGCAGCAGCUGUUAAUGAAUACAAUCACAAUCUUAAAUAUGCAUGAACAGUGAUUACCUGGACAGCAUCAAACAAGGUUGACACAGGCUCAUGCUCAUGUGCCCAAGGUUGUUUGAAUGACGGAAGGGAUUCUUUACGGGAGCUAACAAUUAAGCCCUAUAUAUAAAAUAUUGCAUCAGGCCAUCAGAUAAUCAGUUGAAGAAAAUAUUGUAUUAGCAAUUCUGAAUAUUCCUUUGGUAACAAACCUUUGAGUCCACCAGCCAAACCUUCUGGCGGCACUCUUCAAUCGGAGCUUUUGUCUAUAAAUCGAUCAAACCAGUAAACGUUAGCAGUAAGCACUACCAAUUAUGGAAACUGACCUUCCCACAUUCUGAAAAAUGUAGCAAGUUACCUGUUUUGAAAUCUGAAGAGCAAUGAGUUCUGCUAUGCCAGUUCCAGCCUGCAGUCAAAUACAUAAUCAGAAUCUUUUCUUCCGUGUCUCUAAAAUGAAGAAUCUCAUUGAUGGGAACAAUUUCAAUUCAACGGAUAUAUUUCAACAGUUUGACGGCAAAGGGAAAAAAAAAGUCCACCAAGAUAAGCUAUGAGCCUAUCACAGUAUCACUAACCUCCCCAGCACCAAGGAACAAAUAAGUGUGCUCUGCUAGGGUCCCACCAACCACCUUGAGUGAUGCUAACAAACCUGCAAGGACCACUGAUGCUGUGCCCUGCAAUCAUUCAUAUUUCCAUAUUGGUACAACCAUAAAAGGCAACAGACUGGAUGAUGGUGAUGACUCAAUUAAGGAUCACACCUGGUAAUAGUAAAAAAGAAAAAUAUCAUGGUUUGGUUCCAUUUACCUGGAUAUCAUCAUUGAAAACAAGAUGGCUCUUGCUAUAUUUUUCAAGCAGAUCAAAAGCAUUAUGAUUGGCAAAGUCCUCAAACUGUAAAAAAAAAACGGUUACAUUUUGUGAUAAGAGUAAAUUGAUCUGACAUAGCGACAAUAGUACACUGAAAGUCUCUGACUCACCUGAAUGAGGACUUUCUCACCGUAGAUUUGCACCACAGCGCUCAUGAAUUCUUCUAUAAGCUCAUGAUAUUCCUGCCAUUAAGGAAAAUGCACAUGUAAGGCCUCAAGUGCCUGAUAUUUUGCCAACUCCUUACUUCCUGCAAUCUUGUCGCAACUACAUACCUUGCCAGUUGCACGUUUUUGCCGCAGUCCAAUGUAGAACUCAUCAUUAAGCAGUUCCUCAUUGUUCGUGCCAACAUCAAUUGUAAUGGGCAAACACUGCAAAGCAAUUCAUUGUAAAUUUGAGAUAACUUAGUUAUAUGUUGAUACCAAACAUACAGGAUCACUACAAGAGAGGCUACAAAAAGGGGACAGUAAACAUGGGGCCACUUACAGCUGAUGGGCGAACUCCUCCAAGGGCAGUGUAGAGAGCAAGUUUGCCUACAGGAAUUCCCAUUCCCUAUAGAAGGAUUCAGCAUAACAUAAGCAAAGGCCCUGAAGCAAAGCAACUAAAAAGGCAAUCAUACCUGAGCACCCAAAUCUCCAAGUCCCAAGAUUCGCCCACCAUCAGUGACACAAAUAACUUGAAUAUCCCUCUGAGGCCAGUUCCUUAGAACCUCUAGGACCCUCCCCCUGGGAUGCACCUCCAGUCAGUCCAAAUCCAAUAGACGGACAGAAGAGAACUGCAUAAUUACUGCAAAUUCAAGCAGAUAUAGGCACACGUACUUGUCCCUCAGGCUGACAUACAGACCCUGCGGUUGUCUAAAGAUGGACCCAUACUUCUGGCAGGCCUCGCCAACAGUCGGUGUGUAAACAAAAGGGAGCAGCUCCUCCACAUUAUCAAUUAAAAGCCUGUAGAAAAGCCUCUCAUUUCUCUCCUGA
rnacentral:lncRNA from 1 species